GACGAACGCUGGCGGCGUGCCUAAUACAUGCAAGUCGAGCGGACGAAUCGAAAGCUUGCUUUUGAUUCGUUAGCGGCGGACGGGUGAGUAACACGUGGGCAACCUGCCCUGUAGACGGGGAUAACACCGAGAAAUCGGUGCUAAUACCGGAUAACACGAAAUGUCGCAUGACGUUUCGUUGAAAGACGGCGCAAGCUGCCGCUACAGGAUGGGCCCGCGGCGCAUUAGCUAGUUGGUGAGGUAACGGCUCACCAAGGCGACGAUACGUAGCCGACCUGAGAGGGUGAUCGGCCGCACUGGGACUGAGACACGGCCCAGACUCCUACGGGAGGCAGCAGUAGGGAAUCUUCCGCAAUGGACGAAAGUCUGACGGAGCAACGCCGCGUGAGCGAAGAAGGCCUUCGGGUAGUAAAGCUCUGUUGUUAGGGAAGAACAAGUAACGCAGUAACUGGCGUUACCGUGACGGUACCUAACGAGAAAGCCACGGCUAACUACGUG
rnacentral:rRNA from 1 species